CAUGAGCUCCCUGAGAGCCAAGCCACUCCGUAGCGAUCACCGCCAUAUCCCAGUGCCUGGAACGGUGCCUGGAACAGCGCCUGGCACCUGGAAUCUUUCAUCUGUUGGACGGUGCAGGAAGGGGAGGGACAACCCAGAGCCUGCCCCUCAGAUCACUGAAGUUGUCCCACAGAAGUCAGUGGACCUACUGAGUCCUCCAUCCUGCAGGAGAGCGAGCGAGAGAGAAACAGCAUGAGAGGGGAGAGGGUCAGAGGGAGAAGCAGGCUCCCUGCUGAGCCGGGAGCCCGAUGUGGGACUCGAUCCCAGGACCCUGGGUUCAUGACCUGAGCCGAAGGCAGACGCUUAACCAUCUGAGCCACCCAGGCGCCCUUCUAUUGUCUUCUAUUAAAUAGAAAGUUCUUUUAGUUCUCUCAUUUUCAACGUGACGGAUUUAUUUCAAAGGAAAAUUUACAUAAUAGGUGAAAAAUCAACAUCGUAGCCAUGACGAACACUGAUGAUAAACAAAUACAAUGGAAACAAAGCAGUACUGCACAAUUCUAGCUUGAUAAAGGAAAGAUGCAAAUAUUCGUCCUGCGUGCCCCCAACUGAGACUUGGUCCCCGGAAGAAGCCAGGAUUGGGAGAAAGUCGAAAAGGAAGUAACUCUUUGGCGACACCUGGAAUCAGCUGUCUUGGUACCAGUGGGAUACACACCCUUUGUUUCAGGGAGGGGCCCUCAACCUUUAUCUCUAAAGGACCAGAGUCAAUAUUUAGGCCCCUGAGGGCCACUUACAUCCCUGCUGAGUAUCCCCUCCCCUUCCCGGCCUUUGCUUACAAUCCUUUCCAACCGUUCUUAGUGCAGGUUGGGUAAGACAGGCCCAUGGCUGGAUUUGGCCCGCGGACUGUGGUUUGCCACCCCCUGAUUUAAAGGAUGGAGAGAAGGGCAGACCCCAAAAGAGACAAGGUGCCACAAGGGAGUUCCUAGGCAUUCAACUCCUGACCACGAAUCAGCGUCCUGGCCCCAGCCACGCAUGACCCUUCUCUGCCUGUUUUCAGGCUCCUCCCACACAGGGUAAUUCUUUAUCCCCCAGGAGUCUUGUGGGAGAUUUGGCCACACCUCCUUUGCUGAUGGUGGCACAGGGUUGGAGACUCAGAACCCAGUGUUCGGAAGCCACUCUGGGGCUAUGUCCGCCUUUCAGCACCAAUGUCUUCCUCUUCUGACGUCACUCCUUGCUUACUUCCUUCCCUUCCGGGCCCCUCUGCACCUCGGCCGAAGGCCUCACUGUUCCUCUCUCCCUCUCUGAAGAUUAGCCACACUGAGGUCACCUCCAAUGACCUCCGAUCACUGUGGCUGCCAGCAAGUCCUUUGCUUCCUCAAGGGAAGAGAUGAAUUUCAGUGACCCCUCCCCCACCUUGGUGAGCCUUCCAUCCGAGGUGGAAGUGAUGUUCUAGGUCUUCCAGGGGAAGGCCCUAAGAAGGCCCACAGGUUCUCAUGGAAACUGUCUUUGGGUAUUUGUUUAGGGGGGAGCCAGCUGCCUUGAAAGAAGUUGGACAAUCCUAAGACCACCAUGUUGUAAGGACACCCAAGGUAGUCAAGUGGAGAGAACCCACGGAAAGAGAUGCUUGGUACCCCAGCUGUCCCAGCCCAGGAGCCAGACAUUUAAGUAGAGAAACCUGCAAAUGGGCACCAGCCCCCACUGCAACCUCAUGACCCCAAGUAAGAGCUGCCCCACUGAGCCCGGUUGACUCCUAGACCGUGAGAGAUAAUAAAUUAUCCUUAAGCCACUACAUUUUGGAGUGGUUUUUUACAUGGCAAUAAACUUCUGGAACACCACCUGAAAGCGAGGUCUCAAUCCAGGAAGUUUUCUGUCACACCAAGGCACAAGAUUUAAACUCUCUUCUCCAUUCCAAACCAGAAGAAUUUUCCUCAGCUUUGCAAGUCAAUCUCUGGUCCCCUCACCAGAAAAUCGUAUAAAUUUUGCACCCAAAUCUAGUUGCUCAGUCUUGAGCAACAGGAGCUGGUCAGUUGUGGCAAGUAUUUUUGUUCGGCUGACUGAGUCAUUCCCAAAACCUUUCUUCCUGUCUUCCUAUCACUGCAAAGCCUGGGAUGGCCAGAUACACCCUUUCUGGCUUUGCUGUAGAAGGCUUUACUACCCCUCUGGCCAAUGUUGUGAAGAAAGUUCACCUGUUGGGUCCUUGAAAACAGUCUUUGCUUGCUGAUAAGGAAGAAACUCGGCCUGGUAUCACCCCCUGUUUCCUACUUCUGAGCAUGGUGUAAAAAUGUAAU